UGGGGAAUAUUGGACAAUGGGCGCAAGCCUGAUCCAGCCAUGCCGCGUGAGUGAUGAAGGCCCUAGGGUUGUAAAGCUCUUUCACCGGUGAAGAUAAUGACGGUAACCGGAGAAGAAGUCCCGGCCAACUUCGUGCCAGCAGCCGCGGUAAUACGAAGGGGGCUAGCGUUGUUCGGAUUUACUGGGCGUAAAGCGCACGUAGGCGGACUUUUAAGUCAGGGGUGAAAUCCCGGGGCUCAACCCCGGAACUGCCUUUGAUACUGGAAGUCUUGAGUAUGGUAGAGGUGAGUGGAAUUCCGAGUGUAGAGGUGAAAUUCGUAGAUAUUCGGAGGAACACCAGUGGCGAAGGCGGCUCGCUGGACCAUUACUGACGCUGAGGUGCGAAAGCGUGGGGAGCAAACAGG
rnacentral:rRNA from 1 species